UAGGGAAUAUUGCUUAAUGGGCGCAAGCCUGAAGCAGCAACGCCGCGUGUGCGAUGAAGGCCUUCGGGGCGUAAAGCACUUUUUGGAGGGAUGAGGAAGGACAGUACCUCCAGAAUAAGCCUCGGCUAACUACGUGCCAGCAGCCGCGGUAACACGUAGGAGGCAAGCGUUAUUCGGAUUUACUGGGCGUAAAGCGCAUGUAGGCGGUCUGGAAAGUUGGAUGUGAAAGCUCCCGGCUUAACUGGGAGAGGUCGUUCAAAACUACCAGGCUAGAGGAUGGGAGAGGGAGGUGGAAUUCCGGGUGUAGUGGUGAAAUGCGUAGAUAUCCGGAGGAACACCAGUGGCGAAAGCGGCCUCCUGGCCCAAACCUGACGCUCAGAUGCGAAAGCUAGGGUAGCAAACG
rnacentral:rRNA from 1 species